AUGGCUGUCGUCAGCUCGUGUCGUGAGAUGUUGGGUUAAGUCCCGCAACGAGCGCAACCCCCGUGUUCUGUUGCCACCCGGAUGUAAAUCCGGAGCACUCUGGACAGACUGCCUGGUUUCAACUAGGAGGAAGGUGGGGAUGACGUCAAGUCAGUAUGGCCCUUACGGCCAGGGCUGCACACGUACUACAAUGCCUGAUAUAAUGGGAAGCAAGACCGCGAGGUGGAGCAAAUCCUCAAAAUCAGGCCCAGUUCAGAUUGUAGGCUGCAACUCGCCUACAUGAAGGAGGAAUCGCUAGUAAUGCCGUAUCAGCUACGACGGCGUGAAUACGUUCCCAGGCCUUGUACACACCGCCCGUCACAUCAUGAAAGUCGAUUGUACCCGAAGUCACUGAGUUAACUUGCAAAAGAGACAGGUGCCGAAGGUAUGGUUGGUAAUUGGGAUGAAGUCGUAACAAGGUAGCCGUAGGGGAACCUGUGGCUGGAUCACCUCCUUUCUAAGGAGAAUAACUGUGGUGGCAUAAGCCAUCACGAGGUCGAACCGGGAUGCUUGUCAUCCUGGCAGGGCUCGGACCUUAUUGUGCAAUUCAGUGUUCCGAGAACGGUGUUCUUUUGACAGGAUAGCUUUGCUCCGGACGGAUUCGUUCGGCGACAAGUAGUUCAAAAGGGGCUGUAGCUCAGUUGGUAGAGCGCCUGCUUUGCAAGCAGGAUGUCAGGAGUUCGAGUCUCCUCAGCUCCACCAGCUAAAACAACCGGUCGGGCCUGUAGCUCAGUUGGUUAGAGCGCGCCCCUGAUAAGGGCGAGGUCACUGGUUCAAAUCCAGUUAGGCCCACCAUCCCGGAUUUUUUGGCGACAGCAGAACAAGUCGCCAAGGUUCUUUGACAACUGUAUGCAGUGAUAUUGCGGUAGAAAAUGCAAUACGCUGAGAAUUAAUUUGGAUAUUUUCAAUUUAUUGAAAUAACCCAAGUUCUUUUUGUGAUCAAGCUACUAAGGGCACGAGGUGAAUGCCUUGGCUCCAGAAGUCGAUGAAGGACGUAGUAAGUUGCGAUAAGCCACGAGGAGCGACAAACACGCGCUGAUCCGUGGAUUUCCGAAUGGGGAAACCCGG
rnacentral:sRNA from 1 species